UACGAAGGGGGCUAGCGUUGUUCGGAAUUACUGGGCGUAAAGCGCGCGCAGGCGGCUAUCCAAGUCAGUGGUGAAAGCCCGGAGCUCAACUCCGGAACUGCCAUUGAAACUGUUUAGCUUGAGGAUGAGAGAGGUGAGUGGAAUUCCCAGUGUAGAGGUGAAAUUCGUAGAUAUUGGGAAGAACACCGGUGGCGAAGGCGGCGAGCUGGCCUGUACCUGACGCUGAGGCGCGACAGCGUGGGGAGCAAACAGG
rnacentral:rRNA from 1 species